rnacentral:rRNA from 1 species
UCAAGAAACUUCCACAAUGGGCAAAAGCCUGAUGGAGCGACGUCGCGUGAUGGACGAAGUGCUUCGGCACGUAAACAUCUUUUAUGUGGGAUGAAAUUAUUGACAGUACCACAUGAAUAAGGGGCUCCUAACUCUGUGCCAGCAGGAGCGGUAAUACAGAGGCCCCAAGCGUUAUCCGGAAUCACUGGGCGUAAAGGGUGUCGAGGCGGUUGUAUUAGUCGUUCGUAAAAUCUACGAGCUUAACUUGUAGGCGGCGAACGAAACGGUACGACUUGAGGUUUGGAGAGGUGCGUGGAACUCACGGUGUAGGGGUGAAAUCCGUUGAUAUCGUGGGGAACACCAAAGGCGAAGGCAGCGCACUGGCCAAAAUCUGACGCUCACACACGAAAGCUAGGGUAGCGAAGAGGAUUAGAUACCCCAGUAGUCCCUGAGCGGGCUGGCAAGGCGCAU